AGCGAACGCUGGCGGCAGGCCUAACACAUGCAAGUCGAACGAACCUUUCGGGGUUAGUGGCGGACGGGUGUGUAACACGUGGGAACGUUCCUUUAGGUUCGGAAUAACUCAGGGAAACGUGUGCUAAUACCGAAUGUGCCCUUCGGGGGAAAGAUUUAUCGCCUUUAGAGCGGCCCGCGUCUGAUUAGCUAGUUGGUUGAGGUAAUGGCUCACCAAGGCGACGAUCAGUAGCUGGUCUGAGAGGAAGAUCAGCCACAUUGGGACUGAGACACGGCCCAAACUCCUACGGGAGGCAGCAGUGGGGAAUCUUGCGCAAUGGGCGAAAGCCUGACGCAGCCAUGCCGCGUGAAUGAUGAAGGUCUUAGGAUUGUAAAAUUCUUUCACCGGGGACGAUAAUGACGGUACCCGGAGAAGAAGCCCCGGCUAACUUCGUG
rnacentral:rRNA from 1 species